rnacentral:lncRNA from 1 species
CAUCGAAAAUUAAAAUUGAGACAAGGCGUAGUUCUUUUCUGCAUUGAAAACUUCCUUUUCUAUCCUGGGAGACAUGAAACUCUUUUAAGUAUUUACUCUAAUUCUAUUAAUUGUUUAUUGACAUAAUUUAUUGAUAAUUUUACAUCGUUUGAAUGGUAAGUAUAAAAGGAUCUCAAUUUGAUGGUUACCUAAAACGUUGCAAUUUUACUACAUUACUGUGAUUGCAAUCCUUUUGUAACAUUCUUGAAUAUACUUGGACAGUAGGUAAGUAAGUAAACCUGGAUUAUCUAAUGAUUUUUUAAAAACUGCCGCAUGGGAUUCUCAUGGAAUUACAUCUGGGAUAUCAUAUUAUAUGAGAUUUUCAUAUCAGGUGAACAUGGGGGAUUAGAGAGCAAGGUAUUUUUACCCAUCUUGCCCCAAAAUGUUUUACCUAAUGAGCGAAAUUUUCCAAAAUGGCCCCGAUGAUGAUAAAUCAGCUAGAAAAUCGCUACUUAGGAAAAUCGCACUGUGAUUGAUAAGAAUUAGUUAAUAGUUCACAUUUUGGCGGUUUUUUUUUUGACCUUCGGGAAAGACCAAUAAGAGAGCAGGACAGUAUGGAGGGGAGCGACAGGUUGCUUUUUGUUUACAUCUAUGACGUCACGGGGGUCUCCAUUCCAGCAGGCGUUCAAAUCUUCUUCUUUUUCGCGAUUUAGCGUUGCGUUCUUCGAAAGUAUCAGCGUCUCUCGCAGCUGAAAUUCUUAUAACAUCUUCCGAAAGUUCUUAGUUUUGGUUUUUAGGGCGUAGGCGAAUAUCUUCGUCAACACACUAGAUCAUGGCAUCGACGUCAAGUGCUUUAUGGCCAGUUUCAACCCAAAGAAAAAGGAAAAUGUCUCAGGAUGACUCCGGAGAUGAGAGUGUCAUCAAGUACUACAUCACCCUUGAGAAGGAGGAAGAAGACGAUGCAUUAGCUAAGGAGGACACAGGGUCUGAAAGUAUAUACACUAUUCAAGACAAGUCCACCAUGAUAGUCUGUGAUACAGAUUCAGAUUGGUCUGAAUCAGACAUCGAGUACGAUGUCAAAAGCCUUGAUCAUAAUCCAAUUCAUCCAUUCAUGUGGGAUAAUAACUCCUCAAGUUCGGAAGAAUCGGUAAGUCCUACAGUUUCUUACUAGUAAAAAUUAUGCUCUCAAUCAAACAAAGUGUUACCAACUCAAUAAUUUUUAGCUUUUUCCUCCAUUUCUUGAAUUCUGUCA